UACGGGGGGAGCAAGCGUUGUUCGGAUUUACUGGGCGUAAAGGGCGCGUAGGCGGCCACCGCAAGUCAAUUGUGAAAUCUCCGGGCUUAACUCGGAAAGGUCAACUGAUACUGCGGGGCUAGAGUGCGGAAGGGGCAACUGGAAUUCUCGGUGUAGCGGUGAAAUGCGUAGAUAUCGAGAGGAACACCUGGCGGCGAAAGGCGGGGUUGCUGGGCCGACACUGA
rnacentral:rRNA from 1 species